AACAAUCCAUCUUGGCCAAAUUAAAGGGAAGGAAAUUGGGAAGAGAUUAGGCCAAAUAGGAAGCAAGAGGAAAAGUCAAUCCUUACCUACUGAGGAGAGGACUUGACUUCCUAUUUUGCACUAAGACUAUAAAUACCCUCCUUAACUCCUAUUAGAGCAACUCUUGGUAACCAAGAAAACACACACAAACCUAAACCUAGCAGCUACACACCAUACACAAGAGGCCGCCACACAUGCCUCACUCUCUCCCAUAGCCAAUUCCUCUGCCUUACUCGACACUUAAGUUUUCUUCUUCCUCUUCUUCUUCU
rnacentral:misc_RNA from 1 species